GGAGGACCAUCUCCCAAGGCUAAAUACUCCCUAGUGACCGAUAGUGAACCAGUACCGUGAGGGAAAGGUGAAAAGCACCCCGGAAGGGGAGUGAAACAGUUCCUGAAACCGUGUGCCUACAAGUAGUUAGAGCCCGUUAAUGGGUGAUAGCGUGCCUUUUGUAGAAUGAACCGGCGAGUUACGAUUUGUUGCAAGGUUAAGCGGAAAAAGCGGAGCCGUAGCGAAAGCGAGUCUGAAUAGGGCGCAUAAGUAACAGGUCGUAGACCCGAAACCAGGUGAUCUACCCAUGUCCAGGAUGAAGGUAAGGUAAUACUUACUGGAGGUCCGAACCCACGCACGUUGAAAAGUGCGGGGAUGAGGUGUGGGUAGCGGAGAAAUUCCAAUCGAACUUGGAGAUAGCUGGUUCUCUCCGAAAUAGCUUUAGGGCUAGCCUCGAGGUAAAGAGUCAUGGAGGUAGAGCACUGUUUGGACUAGGGGCCCUUCUCGGGUUACCGAAUUCAGAUAAACUCCGAAUGCCAUGUACUUAUACUCGGGAGUCAGACUGCGAGUGAUAAGAUCCGUAGUCGAAAGGGAAACAGCCCAGACCACCAGUUAAGGUCCCCAAAUAUAUGUUAAGUGGAAAAGGAUGUGGGGUUGCUUAGACAACCAGGAUGUUGGCUUAGAAGCAGCCACCAUUGAAAGAGUGCGUAAUAGCUCACUGGUCGAGUGACCCCGCGCCGAAAAUGUACCGGGGCUAAACAUAUUACCGAAACUGUGGAUGAACCUCUUUAGAGGUUCGUGGUAGGAGAGCGUUCUAAGGGCGGUGAAGUCAGACCGGAAGGACUGGUGGAGCGCUUAGAAGUGAGAAUGCCGGUAUGAGUAGCGAAAGAAGGGUGAGAAUCCCUUCCACCGAAUAUCUAAGGUUUCCUGAGGAAGGCUCGUCCGCUCAGGGUUAGUCGGGACCUAAGCCGAGGCCGAUAGGCGUAGGCGAUGGACAACAGGUAGAGAUUCCUGUACCAGUGCUAAUUGUUUAACCGAUGGGGUGACACAGAAGGAUAGGGAAUCGCACGAAUGGAAAUGUGCGUCCAA
rnacentral:rRNA from 1 species